GAUGAAGAACGUAGUGAAAUGCGAUAAGUAAUGUGAAUUGCAGAAUUCAGUGAAUCAUCGAAUCUUUGAACGCACAUUGCGCCCGCCAGUAUUCUGGCGGGCAUGCCUGUUCGAGCGUCAUUUCAACCAUCAAGCCCCCGGGCUUGUGUUGGGGACCUGCGGCUGCCGCAGGUCCUGAAAAGCAGUGGCGGGCUCGCUGUCACACCGAGCGUAGUAGAUUUUAUCUCGCUCUGGGCGUGCUGCGGGUUCCGGCCGUUAAACCACCCUUUUAACCCAAGGUUGACCUCGGAUCAGGUAGGAAGACCCGCUGAACUUAAGCAUAUCAAUAAGCGGAGGA
rnacentral:misc_RNA from 1 species